AUUGAACGCUGGCGGCAUGCCUUACACAUGCAAGUCGAACGGCAGCGCGGGAGCAAUCCUGGCGGCGAGUGGCGAAAGGGUGAGUAAUACAUCGGAACGUGCCCAAUCGUGGGGGAUAACGCAGCGAAAGCUGUGCUAAUACCGCAUACGAUCUACGGAUGAAAGCAGGGGAUCGCAAGACCUUGCGCGCAUGGAGCGGCCGAUGGCAGAUUAGGUAGUUGGUGAGGUAAAGGCUCACCAAGCCUUCGAUCUGUAGCUGGUCUGAGAGGACGACCAGCCACACUGGGACUGAGACACGGCCCAGACUCCUACGGGAGGCAGCAGUGGGGAAUUUUGGACAAUGGGCGAAAGCCUGAUCCAGCCAUGCCGCGUGCAGGAUGAAGGCCUUCGGGUUGUAAACUGCUUUUGUACGGAACGAAACGGUCUUUUCUAAUAAAGAAGGCUAAUGACGGUACCGUAAGAAUAAGCACCGGCUAACUACGUG
rnacentral:rRNA from 1 species